rnacentral:rRNA from 1 species
UACGGAGAAUGCAAGCGUUAUCCGGAAUGAUUGGGCGUAAAGCGUCCGCAGGUGGCUGUGUAAGUCUGCUGUCAAAGAGCGAAGCUCAACUUCGUAAAGGCAGUGGAAACUACACGGCUAGAGUGCGUUCGGGGCAGAGGGAAUUCCUGGUGUAGCGGUGAAAUGCGUAGAGAUCAGGAAGAACACCGGUGGCGAAGGCGCUCUGCUAGGCCGCAACUGACACUGAGGGACGAAAGCUAGGGGAGCGAAUGGG